rnacentral:rRNA from 1 species
GACGAACCGUGCGAACGUUGUUCGGAAUCACUGGGCUUAAAGGGCGCGUAGGCGGCUCCGCAAGUCGGGGGUGAAAUCUUUCGGCUUAACCGGAAAAGUGCCUCUGAUACUGCGGAGCUCGAGGGAGGUAGGGGCGGACGGAACUUCCGGUGGAGCGGUGAAAUGCGUUGAUAUCGGAAGGAACGCCGGUGGCGAAAGCGGUCCGCUGGCCCUCUACUGACGCUGAGGCGCGAGAGCGUGGGGAGCAAACCGG